rnacentral:rRNA from 1 species
UUGAAAGGGAAACGAUUGAAGUCAGUCGUACCUUCGGGUAAUCAGCCUUUCGGGUGCGAUUCUGUGGAGCGUGAGGAGUUAAACGCCUUCAUGCCUGCAUAUUCGUGCACUUUGGGUGUACUUGCCCGUGUGGUAGGUUAACAUCAAUUUCGGAUGUCAUAAAAUGGCUGGAGGAAUGUAGCUUCGGUCUCGUACUGAAGUGUUAUAGCCUUUGGUAGAUGUGAUGACCGGGAUUGAGGAUUGCAACGAAUACCUUUUGGGCUACCCGCCUGAUCUCUGAAAGUUGCUCUGGUGCCGAAAGCGUGCUUACGGUUAUCAAAGUUGACGUUCAAAAGGUUAGAACGGGUUAAAUUCGUUAAGGAU